rnacentral:rRNA from 1 species
GACGAACGCUGGCGGCGUGCCUAAUACAUGCAAGUUGAGCGAUGAAGAUUGGUGCUUGCACCAAUUUGAAGAGCAGCGAACGGGUGAGUAACGCGUGGGGAAUCUGCCUUUGAGCGGGGGACAACAUUUGGAAACGAAUGCUAAUACCGCAUAACAACUUUAAACAUAAGUUUUAAGUUUGAAAGAUGCAAUUGCAUCACUCAAAGAUGAUCCCGCGUUGUAUUAGCUAGUUGGUGAGGUAAAGGCUCACCAAGGCGACGAUACAUAGCCGACCUGAGAGGGUGAUCGGCCACAUUGGGACUGAGACACGGCCCAAACUCCUACGGGAGGCAGCAGUAGGGAAUCUUCGGCAAUGGACGAAAGUCUGACCGAGCAACGCCGCGUGAGUGAAGAAGGUUUUCGGAUCGUAAAACUCUGUUGGUAGAGAAGAACGUUGGUGAGAGUGGAAAGCUCAUCAAGUGACGGUAACUACCCAGAAAGGGACGGCUAACUACGUG